rnacentral:lncRNA from 10 species
UCGCAGCUGACUGCAGCCUCAACCUUCCAGGCUGAAGCGAUCCUCCCACCUCAACCUCCCACGUGGCUGAGACUACAGGUGCUUGCCACUAUGCCCAACUAACAUUUGGAAUUUUCGUAUACGUGGAUUCUAGAGGGGUGACAGCGAAACCUCCUACCUCCCGGCAGCCUCUCCAGGCCCAGAACUUUCUCCAGUCAGCCUCUACAGACCAAGCUCAUGACUCACAAUGGCCUAUUUAGGCCCAUACCCUACGUCACGGCAGCCUCCGCAGAUGAGGCUACUGCCUCACAACAGCCUCCACAGGCACAGCUCCAUCGUUACAAUGGCCUCUUUAGACCCAGCUCCUGCCUCCCAGCCUUCUCUCCAGGCCCUGAACUUUCUCAAGUCGACCUCACCAGGCCCAGCUCAUGCUUCUUUGCAGCCUCUCCAGGCCCAGCUCCUGCAUCUUGGUGGCCCCUC